rnacentral:misc_RNA from 1 species
GAUGAAGAACGUAGCGAAAUGCGAUAAGUAAUGUGAAUUGCAGAAUUCAGUGAAUCAUCGAAUCUUUGAACGCACAUUGCGCCCGCCAGUAUUCUGGCGGGCAUGCCUGUUCGAGCGUCAUUUCAACCAUCAAGCCCCAGGCUUGUGUUGGGGACCUGCGGCUGCCGCAGGCCCUGAAAACCAGUGGCGGGCUCGCUGUCACACCGGGCGUAGUAGAUUUUAUCUCGCUCAGGGCGUGCUGCGGGUUCCGGCCGUUAAAAAGCCUUUUUUACCCAAGGUUGACCUCGGAUCAGGUAGGAAGACACGCUGAACUUAAGCAUAUCAAUAAGCGGAGGA